AAUGGGCGCAAGCCUGAUCCAGCCAUGCCGCGUGCGGGAAGAAGGCCUUCGGGUUGUAAACCGCUUUCAGACGGAAAGAAAUCGCUGAUCCUAAUACGAUUGGUGGAUGACGGUACCGUAAGAAGAAGCACCGGCUAACUACGUGCCAGCAGCCGCGGUAAUACGUAGGGUGCGAGCGUUAAUCGGAAUUACUGGGCNUAAAGCGUGCGCAGGCGGCUUUUUAAGCCAGGCGUGAAAUACCCGGGCUUAAACUGGGAACUGCGUUUGGAACUGGGAGGCUAGAGUGUGGUAGAGGGGGGUGGAAUUCCGCGUGUAGCAGUGAAAUGCGUAGAUAUGCGGAGGAACACCGAUGGCGAAGGCAGCCCCCUGGGAUAACACUGACGCUCAUGCACGAAAGCGUGGGGAGCAAA
rnacentral:rRNA from 1 species